rnacentral:rRNA from 2 species
GGAGGUCGGCAACGACCACCCAGGGCCGGAAAGUUGGUCAAACCCGGUCAUUUAGAGGAAGUAAAAGUCGUAACAAGGUCUCCGUAGGUGAACCUGCGGAGGGAUCAUUA